AUACCUUUCUCGGCCUUUUGGCUAAGAUCAAGUGUAGUAUCUGUUCUUAUCAGUUUAAUAUCUGAUAUGUGGGCCAUGUGCCCACAAUGAUAUUAAGAGCCUGUUCGGAAUUCCGCUAGCUCCGCAAAAUCUCC
rnacentral:snRNA from 2 species